rnacentral:rRNA from 1 species
GCGUUCGUAGCCGGUUCUGUAAAUCUUCAGAUAAAUUCAUUCGCUCAACGGAUGAUCUUCUGAAGAGACUGUAGAACUUGGGACCGGGUGAGGUUGAAUGUACUUCCGGGGUAGGGGUAAAAUCCUGUAAUCCUGGAAGGACAACCGGUGGCGAAGGCGUUCAACUAGAACGGAUCCGACGGUGAGGAACGAGGGCUAGGGGAGCAAACCGGAUUAGAUACCCGGGUAGUCCUAGCUGUAAACACUGCCCACUUGGUGUUGCCUCUCUGUUGAAGGGGGGCAGUGCCGGAGGCGAAGGUGUUAAGUGGGCCGCUUGGGGAGUAUGGUCGCAAGGCUGAAACUUAAAGGAAUUGGCGGGGGAGCACCGCAACGGGAGGAGCGUGCGGUUUAAUUGGAUUCAACGCCGGAAAACUCACCGGGAGCGACCUUUGGAUGAGAGUCAACCUGAUGAGUUUACUCGAUAGAAGGAGAGGUGGUGCAUGGCCGUCGUCAGCUCGUACCGUAGGGCGUUCACUUAAGUGUGAUAACGAGCGAGACCCCCAUCUCUAAUUGCAAGUAUGUCUUUGCGGACAUGCGCACUUUAGAGGGACCGCCAGCGCUAAGCUGGAGGAAGGAGGGGUCGACGGCAGGUCAGUACGCCCCGAAUCUCCCGGGCUACACGCGCGCUACAAAGGACAGGACAAUGAGUUGCAACCUCGAAAGGGGGAGCUAACCUCGAAACCUGUUCGUAGUUAGGAUUGAGGGCUGUAACUCGCCCUCAUGAAUGUGGAUUCCGUAGUA